CGUUUAGGGGUAAACCUGAGAAACCCGAAAGGUCGAAGGAAGAAAUUCAUUCGCGUUUCGUAGUUGGCGGAGAGAGGAAUUGUGUGACGAAAAUCGCUUGCGGUUUUCGCACCGUCCUUUCUACGAACCGAUUACGAACGUGUGCACUUUUCUUCUGGUAGGACGUCGCGAUCCGUUGGGUGUCGGUUUAAGGUUCAUGGUGGAGUCCGUUUAGCCUAUGUGUCGAACGGACCCGUGAUAUCCCGACCGGCUCGCUCGACGGUAUACGAAAGGUUUAAGGCCGCUCGUUUGGAGCGUUCGACUCGUAAUAACCGCGUUAGUUUUUGUCGAAGAUCGGACCUAGUGCCGAUCCCGACAGCUGACGAUUUGGUUGUUUAUGAAGAUUCUCGAACAGACCUUGUUAACCGAUCGGCGACGAUAUAGAUUUGGGUACUUUCAGGACCCGUCUUGAAACACGGACCAAGGAGUCCAGCAUAUACGCAAGUCAUUGGGAAUGAUUAAACCUAAAGGCAUAAUGAAAGUGAAAAUUCUCCUUGCGGGAAUUAAGGGAAGACAAGCGGUUUAGCCGUUAAAAGCGGCCGCUUUGCAUUCCUGGGGCGUCUCAUUCUCAGCAUGUUCUUGUGAUGUGCGAGAAGAGGCGCACCAAGAGCGUAUACGCUGGGACCCGAAAGAUGGUGAACUAUGCCUGGUCAGGACGAAGUCAGGGGAAACCCUGAUGGAGGUCCGUAGCGAUUCUGACGUGCAAAUCGAUCGUCGGAACUGGGUAUAGGGGCGAAAGACUAAUCGAACCAUC
rnacentral:rRNA from 1 species